CUAAGAGCGUACGGGGGAUGCCUUGGCUCUCAGAGGCGAAGAAGGACGUGAUAAGCUGCGAUAAGCUACGGUUAGCUGCAAACGAGCAUUGAUCCGUAGAUUUCCCAAUGGGGCAACCCAUCCCGAUAUAAUCGGGAUAUCCUAUAAAUUAGGAGGCUAACCCGAUGAACUGAAACAUCUAAGUAGUCGGAGGAAAAGAAAACAAUAGUGAUUCCCAAAGUAGUGGUGAGCGAACUGGGAUUAGCCCAAACCAACAUUGUUACGGCAAGGUUGGGGUUGUAGGACUACCAUAAUUACAACUGAUUGAUAUAAGAACUAUCUGGAAAGAUAGGCCAUAGAAGGUGAUAGCCCUGUAUUUUAAAUCAAGACGUUGUACGGUAGUAUCCUGAGUAGUGCGAGACUGGGGAAAUCUUGCAUGAAUCUGCCAGCACCAUCUGGUAAGGCUAAAUACUCCUGAGAGACCGAUAGUGAACCAGUACUGUGAAGGAAAGGUGAAAAGUACCCCGAACAGGGGAGUGAAAUAGAACCUGAAACCGUGCGCUUACAAGCGGUCGGAGUCCCGAUAAAAUCGGGAUGACGGCGUGCCUUUUGCAUAAUGAGCCUACGAGUUAAUCUUAUCUGGCAAGGUUAAUCUGUUUAGCAGAGGAGCCGUAGCGAAAGCGAGUCAUAACAGGGCGCUUAGUCAGAUGAGUUAGACGCGAAACUUAGUGAUCUACCCAUGAGCAGGGUGAAGGUUGAGUAACAUCAACUGGAGGCCCGAACCCACUAAUGUUGAAAAAUUAGGGGAUGACUUGUGGGUAGGGGUGAAAGGCUAAUCAAACUGAGAGAUAGCUCGUACUCCCCGAAAUGCCUUUUGGGGCAGCCUCGGGGCUGAGUAUCACGGAGGUAGAGCUACUGAUUGGAUGCGGGGGUUUCACCACCUACCAAAUCCUGAUAAACUCCGAAUGCCGUGAUAUUUACCCGGGAGUGAGGGCAUGGGUGCAAAGGUCCAUGUCCGAGAGGGAAAGAACCCAGACUAUCAGCUAAGGUCCCUAAAUAACAGCUAAGUUGUUUAAACGAGGUCGAACUGCAGUGACAGCUAGGAUGUUGGCUUGGAAGCAGCCAUUCAUUUAAAGAGUGCGUAACAGCCCACUAGUCGAGCGGUUUGGCGUGGAUAAUAAUCGGGCAUAAGCUGUUUACCGAAGCUAUAGAUUUCAAUAUUUAAUUGAAGUGGUAGGGGAGCAUUCCAACGACACUGAAGGAAAGUUGUGAGAUUUUCUGGAGUUUUUGGAAACGAAAAUGUAGGCAUAAGUAACGACAAUGCGGGCGAGAAACCCGCACACCGAAAGACUAAGGUUUCCUGAUCAACGCUAAUCGGAUCAGGGUUAGUCGGGACCUAAGGUUCAUUCAUUGUAGUGAUGGAGAUACCGAUGGACAAUUGGUUAAUAUUCCAAUACUGUUUAUACAUUCGAUGUGGUGACGAAGUAGUGACAGGCGUGCGUACUGACGGAAUAGUACGUUUAAUAGCAAAGAUAUACCUUAUAUAGGCAAAUCCGUAUUUGGUGUCGAAGCUAGAAAGUACCGCAAAUCUUCGGAUGCGCGGAUAAUCGCUGUAAUCAGACUUCCAAGAAAACCCGCUAAGAUUAGUGUAUAAAUACCCGUACCGUAAACCGACACAGGUAGUCGAGGAGAGAAUCCUAAGGUGCUCGAGUGAUUCAUGGCUAAGGAACUAGGCAAAAUUACCCCGUAACUUCGGGAGAAGGGGUUCCCGACUUAGUCGGGACGCAGAGAAAUGGCCCGGACGACUGUUUAUCAAAAACACAUGGCUUUGCAAAAUCUAACGAUGACGUAUAAGGCCUGACACCUGCCCGGUGCUGGAAGGUUAAAAGGAGAUGUCAUCUCAACUUGUUGGGAGAAGCAUUGAAUUGAAGCCCCAGUAAACGGCGGCCGUAACUAUAACGGUCCUAAGGUAGCGAAAUUCCUUGUCGGGUAAGUUCCGACCUGCACGAAUGGUGCAACGAUCUGGGCGCUGUCUCAGCCAUGAGCUCGGUGAAAUUGUAGUAGCGGUGAAGAUGCCGCUUACCCGCAACGGGACGGAAAGACCCCGUGAACCUUCACUAUAGCUUUGCAUUGGUAUUGGGUAAAUAAUGUGCAGGAUAGGUGGGAGACUGUGAUUUGGAGCCGCUAGGUUUCAGGGAGUCGCCGUUGAAAUACCACCCUUUAUUUAUUUGAUAUCUAAUCCCGAUUCAUCGGGAGACAUUGCAUGGCGGGUAGUUUGACUGGGGUGGUCGCCUCCAAAAGCGUAACGGAGGCUUUCAAAGGUGCCCUCAGCACGCUUGGUAACCGUGCGUAGAGUGUAAUGGCAUAAGGGCGCUUGACUGGGAGACUUACAAGUCGAGCAGGUGAGAAAUCAGGACAUAGUGAUCCGGUGGUUCCGUAUGGAAGGGCCAUCGCUCAAAGGAUAAAAGGUACUCCGGGGAUAACAGGCUGAUCACUCCCAAGAGCUCAUAUCGACGGAGUGGUUUGGCACCUCGAUGUCGGCUCGUCACAUCCUGGGGCUGGAGAAGGUCCCAAGGGUUCGGCUGUUCGCCGAUUAAAGUGGCACGCGAGCUGGGUUCAGAACGUCGCGAGACAGUUCGGUCCCUAUCUGUUGUGGGCGUAGAAGCUUGAGAGGACCUGACUCUAGUACGAGAGGACCGAGUUGGACGAACCUCUGGUGUACCUGUUGUGGCGCCAGCUGCAUCGCAGGGUAGCCAAGUUCGGAUGAGAUAAGUGCUGAAAGCAUCUAAGUACGAAACUCACCUCAAGAUGAGGCUUCAUUAAAGGGUCGUUAUAGACGAUGACGUUGAUAGGUUGCAGGUGUAAAGGCAGUAAUGUCAUAGCUGAGCAAUACUAAUUACCCGAAACUUGCUUGU
rnacentral:rRNA from 1 species